UUAAGAAAGCGUAAUAGCUCACUGGUCGAGUCGGCCUGCGCGGAAGAUGUAACGGGGCUAAACCAUGCACCGAAGCUGCGGCAGCGACACUGUGUGUUGUUGGGUAGGGGAGCGUUCUGUAAGCCUGUGAAGGUGGCCUGUGAGGGUUGCUGGAGGUAUCAGAAGUGCGAAUGCUGACAUAAGUAACGAUAAAGCGGGUGAAAAGCCCGCUCGCCGGAAGACCAA
rnacentral:rRNA from 1 species